UGGCUCAGAUGGUAAAGCAUCUGUCUGCAAUGCAGGAGACCUGGGUUCGAUCCCUG
rfam:TPA: Bos taurus chromosome 10, whole genome shotgun sequence.